GACGAACGCUGGCGGCGUGCUUAACACAUGCAAGUCGAACGGUAAGGCCCUUCGGGGUACACGAGUGGCGAACGGGUGAGUAACACGUGGGUGAUCUGCCCUGCACUUCGGGAUAAGCCUGGGAAACUGGGUCUAAUACCGGAUAGGACCACUGCAUGCAUGGGCGGUGGUGGAAAGCUUUUGCGGUGUGGGAUGGGCCCGCGGCCUAUCAGCUUGUUGGUGGGGUGAUGGCCUACCAAGGCGACGACGGGUAGCCGGCCUGAGAGGGUGACCGGCCACACUGGGACUGAGAUACGGCCCAGACUCCUACGGGAGGCAGCAGUGGGGAAUAUUGCACAAUGGGCGCAAGCCUGAUGCAGCGACGCCGCGUGAGGGAUGACGGCCUUCGGGUUGUAAACCUCUUUCAGCACCGACGAAGCGCAAGUGACGGUAGGUGCAGAAGAAGGACCGGCCAACUACGUGCCAGCAGCCGCAGUAA
rnacentral:rRNA from 1 species